GAUGCUUAAAGGAUGUAGGCUGAAAUAGAAGAAUUUACACAAAUGUGAUUUAUGCUUCUUGCAAGCUGCCUUUAUAAGAAUUCUGAGCUUUCAUAUUUGCAGAUCUCAGGUUAGUGGGUUUUACAGGCUAUUCAGCUAAUUCAGCCCCAUCUUUCAAACAUCUGUUGCCUCUGAAAAGUUCUCAGUGUAAAGAGGAAACUGUUAUUUAUAAGAAGAAGCUGUCAAAGAUCAGCUAUGUUCAACAAUCUAAAGCAUCGCUUACGUACAUCAGCACUAAACUAUGCUCAUUUGGAUAGCAUGAAUGGCUAAUUUUAGCUUAAAAUUGGAAACAAUUAUGGGUUCAGGAAGAAAAGUAGGGCUGUGUGUCAUUAGUAAUUGAUUUCUUUUGUGGAAAAGCUUGAAAUGAGCAGUUAAGAAAAAAAUACCAACACAACAUUAAGUGAUGCAACCUGUCUUGUGCAAUAUGCAGAUGUUUCUCAGAUUUGUGUCUGUCUCAGGUGGAUGGAUACUUCUGGUGUCAUUCCCUCUCUUCCCUCUGCCUCUCUAUAAUACUUUCUGCAUCUUUCAGCUGCUGCUGUAGAAGUCUCAACUGGGAACAUUGUGCAACUCAUGUGCACAAGAGGAGAGUGGUAUGCCAUGGCAUAGGAAGCUGCGAAUCACUUGGAGUCACCAGAAUGAUCAGACGAGCUGCUUGGGACCUGAGUUGCCAUCCUUUCUGCUGCCAGUGCUAUACUGUCCUUUUUAAGAUCCAUCUACCUGGCUUCUGCAGUGCUGAUGUGGUGGCGUGUGCUUGGGCAUCUGUUUGGAGUGAACCCAACUGCUCCUCGUGA
rnacentral:lncRNA from 1 species